UACGUAGGGUGCAAGCGUUGUCCGGAUUCAUUGGGCGUAAAGAGCUCGUAGGCGGCUUUGUAAGUCGGGUGUGAAAACCCCAGGCUCAACCUGGGGACGCCACUCGAUACUGCAAUAGCUAGAGUUUGGUAGGGGAUCACGGAAUUCCUGGUGUAGCGGUGAAAUGCGCAGAUAUCAGGAGGAACACCAGUGGCGAAGGCGGUGAUCUGGGCCAAUACUGACGCUGAGGAGCGAAAGCGUGGGGAGCAAACAGG
rnacentral:rRNA from 1 species